rnacentral:rRNA from 1 species
AGUGAACGCUGGCGGUAGGCCUAACACAUGCAAGUCGAACGGCAGCACAGUAAGAGCUUGCUCUUACGGGUGGCGAGUGGCGGACGGGUGAGGAAUACAUCGGAAUCUACUUUUUCGUGGGUGAUAACGUAGGGAAACUUACGCUAAUACCGCAUACGACCUACGGGUGAAAGCAGGGGAUCUUCGGACCUUGCGCGACUGAAUGAGCCGAUGUCGGAUUAGCUAGUUGGCGGGGUAAAGGCCCACCAAGGCAACGAUCCGUAGCUGGUCUGAGAGGAUGAUCCGCCACACUGGAACUGAGACACGGUCCAGACUCCUACGGGAGGCAGCAGUGGGGAAUAUUGGACAAUGGGCGCAAGCCUGAUCCAGCCAUGCCGCGUGGGUGAAGAAGGCCUUCGGGUUGUAAAGCCCUUUUGUUGGGAAAGAAAAGCAGCAGGUUAAUACCCCGCUGUUCUGACGGUACCCAAAGAAUAAGCACCGGCUAACUUCGUG